GAGAAUAGUCUACAAUGGACGAAAGUCUGAUAGUGCGACGCCGCGUGAACGAAGAGACCUUUCGGGGUGUAAAGUUCUUUUCUGUGCGAGCAGUGGUGGUUACAGUAAUAUGGUGAUCACUUUGAUAUUAGCAUAUGAAUAAGCAACGGCUAACUCCGUGCCAGCAGCCGCGGUAACACGGGGGUUGCGAGCGUUGUCCGGAAUUACUAGGCGUAAAGGGCAGGUAGGCGGAUAGAUAAGUUUGAUGUUAAAGGCGACGGCUCACCCGUCGUAAGGCAUUAGAUACUGUUUAUCUGGAAUGCGGUUGGGGAAGACAGAAUUCCUGGUGUAGCGGUGGAAUGCGCAGAGAUCAGGAGGAAUACCAAAGGCGAAGGCAGUCUUCUAAGCCGUUAUUGACGCUAAACUGCGAAGGUGUGGGUAUCAAACA
rnacentral:rRNA from 1 species